rnacentral:rRNA from 1 species
AGCAGCCGCGGUAAUUCCAGCUCCAAUAGCGUAUAUUAAAGUUGUUGCAGUUAAAAAGCUCGUAGUUGAACUUCAGGCCUGUCCAGAUGGUCCGCCUUAAUUGGUGUGUACUGUCCUUGGGUGGGUCCUACCUUCUGGCGAAGCGGCAUGGCCUUAAUUGGUUGUGUUGGGGAACCAGGACUUUUACUGUGAAAAAAUUAGAGUGUUCAAAGCAGGCAUAAUAUGCUCGAAUACAUUAGCAUGGAAUAAUGGAAUAGGACGAUGGUUCUAUUUUGUUGGUUCUAGGACCGUUGUAAUGAUUAAUAGGGAUAGUUGGGGGCAUUAGUAUUCAAUUGUCAGAGGUGAAAUUCUUGGAUUUAUUGAAGACUAACUACUGCGAAAGCAUUUGCCAAGGAUGUUUUCAUUAAUCAAGAACGAAAGUUAGGGGAUCGAAGACGAUCAGAUACCGUCGUAGUCUUAACCAUAAACUAUGCCGACUAGGAAUCGGGCGAUGUUGACAAAAUGACUCGCUCGGCACCUCAUG